rnacentral:lncRNA from 1 species
GAGCAAGGUAGGAGGGGUUGCUAUGCAGCAGGAAGCUGCACAUGCGCAACUGGAGUUCAAAGGUGAGAUGGGCGCUGGAAGUACGGAUCUGGGACACGCUGGCCUUUAGAGGAAGGAGAACAGAAAACCAGAAGAAAUCCCGUCAGUGUCUUGAGAAACACCAUUGUCUGAGAACAGAUGUUGACGGAAGUUGACCUUCAACCAAAACCUGUGCAUUCAGAAAGUACCGACCACAGCUUCCUCCCCCAGAUGACUGUAGCCUGAAACUGCUCCUUCACAGAGACCACCUAUGGAGAUAAGCUGAGCCAUCUCUUCAUCUGUGCCAUAUCUCAUAAACACAUUGAGCUUCAGGACUACUGCUUGUAUGUCUCCAUCUGAGUGCAUGGCCACUGGGUCCCAGCCUUACAUAAUUUAUACCUAUCUUAUUCUUCAUGGCCCCCAGUCUGAUCACAGCCGUGUGGGUUUCUGCAGGAAGUCCUUUCUGAAGGGCGUCAA